CAGAAGUUAGUUUAUAUAAAAUUAUUCAUUUACAUUGAAUCGAUUGAGGGUGCAAUUCUUUUAUUUCUGA
rnacentral:tRNA from 1 species